rnacentral:tRNA from 1 species
GGUAAUGUGGCUUAGUGGUAGAGUGCUUGCCUAGCAGGCAUGAAGUCCUGGGUUCGAUUCCUCAGUACCA